ACCACCAACGCCAUUUCGGAGCCUUCUUGCCUGCCCCGUGAACCGAUUGAAUUUUGCAGUUGCGAAUCGAAACGGGUGCCGCGAUUCAUUCUCCGAGCUCCCGGAACUGCCUUUCGUUUCCCUCCACCUCAGCAGAUUGCGGUCAAUCCCAUAAGUCAGCUUGAUCAGCCGGUGGAAUUUAUAGUUCAGCUUAGGAUGGCAAUCGCAAGUGGAGUUGAGGACUAAAAGGGGAGAAACUGAUUUCCUGUUUGAGUUUUGAGCUUGUACUUUUUCAGCGAUUAGUGAUAUACAGGAACCUCCUAGAAUUUUAUAGAGUGGUUUAUGAGUUGGUUUUCGAGGUUUCUUGCCUGAUCUCCUACUUAGCCAGGAGAUUAGCAUGUUCUUAAUUAGGAGAUUAGCUUAGUUCUAAGUUAAGAAUUCUGACGUCUCUUAGCUAGGAGAUUAGCUAAGAGAUGUCAGAAUUUUCCAGCCGGUGUCAGUUAUAUCAGGAGGAUAUGUUGGAACACGCGCAGGAUCUUACACAUAUUUCAAACUGUGAAUGAAUCAAAUUUCGAUGCUUUGAGACUUGAAGACCACGUUGUUAAUUUUGCACUCUUAUCUCUUUGUCUAAGCUGCAUUUCUAAAUUCAAUUUCUUAUUUGCAGGAAGAAGAAAUCCAAAAGGGUUGAAAUAUUCUCUCUAGUCAGAAAAUCAAGUGUUAGUUAUGUGGAAAAAGAAGAAGAGCAAGGGCAACUCCCCAGAUUUGAAACCUUCUUCAUCCGAGGCCGCCGACACCUCAAGAGCUUGCCCAAGUGAGCCUUGUCCAAUCCCAAAACGGGCUUCUCCCCAAACUUACAACCUGACCAAAUUAGAAAUGAAGAAGUUCGAACGCAAAAUCGAGAAUAUGUUGAGAUGCUUUGUUGGGGAAACGACGACAAGUAUUCCAAAAUACUAUUAUGAGGGAACCCGUUUAGCGGAAAAUUGUUCGAGAGGUAUGAAGAAGCGGAAUCACCUCCUGGCAGCGGCAGUAAGAGCUUACAAUCAGGAAAAGUGGCUAGAGCCUUGAGCAAUCAAUUACUUCGUCAUGAAUUUGGGGGAACUCCUGGUUUUGAACCUAGAGAAUGUGGACCAGGAAGAAAAGAGGGAAUAGCUUGAAGCAGGCGAGAACGCUAUUAGCCAUCAAAUGCUAUCCGAAUGUUUUGUAGAAUUAGGUGUCAUCAGAUGAGUGCAUCAAAGAUGCCUAGGAGACAUAUUUUGAGGUAGUUGAUUAAAUGUCGAGAAGAACUGUUGCUGAUCUGUAAGAAAGAGAAAUUAGACUAGAAGAUAAGUUGGUGAAAUGUUACGGUAUACCAGUGAGAGAGGAUGAGUGUUUUGGAAUAAAGCGGAUGACUGGGUAGCAGGCCGAGAUCAUCGAAGCACUUCAACCAAAAGUCGAGAAUUUGAUAGUGCAGGUCAAAGUAUUUUUGUUUCAUUGUUUCAGACAACAGACUGGAGCAAGACUUGCCUGAUCCAUGAGGAAGGAUUAAAGAGCUUUAAAAACAGUUAAAUGAGUUCGAACAGUCUAAGAUUCGGAUAUGAACACAGUGGUUGGCUUAAAAUGUUCUGAUAAAUGCAUAUGUGGACUAUCAUGCAAAUUUUUGCACGUGUUCACUCAACGGUAAGUUAUGCAUGUCUCCUAAAUUUGAUGGUGAUCUUAUCAAAUUCAUUUUGCUCCGCCGUGUGAAGCUUUCUUUUGUUUUAAUUAUAUGAUGAUGGGAGUGUUUUAAAGCUGACAAUUUUACUCUUUGGUUCUUAUCCUCAACUUGGAUUUAAGAAUUUAUCCAUUGCGGCACCUUGAAGAGGUACAUUUGUUUCAUUUUUUCCCAGACCUGUUGAAUCUUUUUUAAUGUGAAGUGCAUGUGAACCAACAGGUUUGGGUUUAAAUACCUGCCAGGUUUACGAACUCUGCCACUAGAACCGGCUUGUCUAACAUCCUUACUCCUAAAUUUUGGAUGCAGCACUGUUUAUGAUUAUCAACCUCAUUUUAUUUAUUGAUUUAUUUAUUUAUUUUUAUCACCAAGCUAAUCACUCCAAGGCUCAACUGACGUAUUACUUUUCGUGCACAACAUGAAGUGCAGUAACAUCGUUCAUCUUCAUGAGAUAUCCAACUUACGCUUUGGUUUGCGGCCCAAGGAAAGAAGAUCACAAGGCUUUGUACCCAAGCUCCACCAGCUGGAUGAACACCCUAAUCGUAAGGGUAAAUUAAUAUCAAGAAGGUCAGUGAGCCUGGUGUCAAGUCUCGCCUUCUUCUAUCAGAAAGUCAGUACAGCCUAUAACCUAGAUAACCAUACACGUAAAACAACUUGCAACAGCAAAUAGCUAUGAAACUGAUAACAAAUUAGUAUACUACACAACCUGCAAUCCAAAUUGUUGCAGACAAUCAGGAUUUCACAUUUAGACGACAACUUGAGGUGACCCAGCUAGAUUAUCUACACGAGCAAUACCAGUAUGAUUCUUGUAUAUUGUAUUCAAUAUAUUGUUUCAAUCUUUUUAAGUCACAUUGCUUUGGUUACUUGUGAUUGUUGCUCACGAUGUUUCUAUGUAUUCAAUGUCUUUCAGUGUGGAUAUUAUAUAUUUUAUUUUAUUUCUUGUAAAAAAUAUUUCUUUAUAUUAUAAAAAUCAAAAAAUAAUAGUGAUUAAUUUUUAUCAUUUACUUAUAAUAGAUGAAUUCUUACAAGAAGAAUGUAUUAUUUGCAUGAAAAAAAAGUUAUAUAUUAAGAUCUAAAGCUAUAUUUUAAACCUAUUCAAUAUUAUAGAUGACAAUAAUUCUAAUAA